UUGGAGGGCAAGUCUGGUGCCCGCAGCCGCGGUAAUUCCAGCUCCAAUAGCGUAUAUUAAAGUUGUUGCAGUUAAAAAGCUCGUAGUUGAAUUUCGGGAUCAGAUUGUCGGUCGUGCCUCGGUACGCACUGGCAUUAUUGGUUCCUACCUUCUGAAGAACCGCGAUGUCAUUAAUUUGGUGUCGUGGGGAAUCAGGACUGUUACUUUGAAAAAAUUAGAGUGUUUAAAGCAGGCUUACGCUUGAAUACAUUAGCAUGGAAUAAUGAAAUAGGACGUUUGAUUCUAUUUUGUUGGUUUCUAGGAUUGACGUAAUGAUUAAUAGGGAUAGUUGGGGGCAUUAGUAUUCAAUUGUCAGAGGUGAAAUUCUUGGAUUUAUUGAAGACUAACUACUGCGAAAGCAUUUGCCAAGGAUGUUUUCAUUAAUCAAGAACGAAAGUUAGGGGAUCGAAGACGAUCAGAUACCGUCGUAGUCUUAACCAUAAGCUAUGCCGACUAGGGAUCGGAUGAUGUUAAUUUUUUAAUGACCCAUUCGGCGCCUUACGGGAAACCAAAGUGUUUGGGUUC
rnacentral:rRNA from 1 species